rnacentral:sRNA from 12 species
UUGUGCCCGCGGUGGGCGAAGCAUAUUUUGUAAAAGUUUUGCGGGCGGCGAAAAUAUGUACAGUCCUGUGACAUAUCGCACGGCGAUAUGCUUUCAAAGCAU